GAUGAACGCUGGCGGCGUGCUUAACACAUGCAAGUCGAACGAAGCACUUCAUAAAGCUUGCUUUAAGAAGUGACUUAGUGGCGGACGGGUGAGUAACGCGUGGGUAACCUGCCUUACACAGGGGGAUAACAGUUAGAAAUGACUGCUAAUACCGCAUAAAACAGCAGAGUCGCAUGACUCAACUGUCAAAGAUUUAUCGGUGUAAGAUGGACCCGCGUCUGAUUAGCUUGUUGGUGGGGUAACGGCCUACCAAGGCGACGAUCAGUAGCCGGCCUGAGAGGGUGAACGGCCACAUUGGGACUGAGACACGGCCCAAACUCCUACGGGAGGCAGCAGUGGGGAAUAUUGCACAAUGGGCGAAAGCCUGAUGCAGCGACGCCGCGUGAGCGAAGAAGUAUUUCGGUAUGUAAAGCUCUAUCAGCAGGGAAGAUAAUGACGGUACCUGACUAAGAAGCACC
rnacentral:rRNA from 1 species